AGGGAAUCUUCCGCAAUGGACGAAAGUCUGACGGAGCAACGCCGCGUGAGUGAAGAAGGUUUUCGGAUUGUAAAGCUCUGUCAUCUGGGACGAUAAUGACGGUACCAGAUGAGGAAGCCACGGCUAACUACGUGCCAGCAGCCGCGGUAAUACGUAGGUGGCAAGCGUUGUCCGGAAUUACUGGGCGUAAAGGGUGCGCAGGCGGACAUUUAAGUGAGAUGUGAAAGACCCGGGCUUAACUUGGGCAGUGCAUUUCAAACUGGAUGUCUGGAGUGCAGGAGAGGAGAACGGAAUUCCUAGUGUAGCGGUGAAAUGCGUAGAGAUUAGGAAGAACACCAGUGGCGAAGGCGGUUCUCUGGACUGUAACUGACGCUGAGGCGCGAAAGCGUGGGGAGCAAAC
rnacentral:rRNA from 1 species